UUUAACAGGUGGGUUAAGUGUCUGAAAAACUCAAAAAGUCUGUGUUGUCUUAUCUUCUUCUUCCUUUGAUUAUCCCACAGGACUGGAGAUAAAUAACAACACAACAUCU
rfam:Daucus carota subsp. sativus cultivar DH1 chromosome 6, whole genome shotgun sequence.